UAGGUCCCCGCCCAGGAUCCAAAACCACAAACUUGGAUCACCAAAGCAGAGCCUGCAGAACUUUAACCACUAGGCCAUGGGGCUGGCCCCUACUAGGUGCUUUUUGUGGGGGGAGGGGUGUUACCUCUAAUCCUCUGAGUUGGGCGUUAUUUCCUCUUUGUUUCCUUUGUGAGGAAGAUUGGCCCUGAGCUAACAUCUGUGCCAGUCUUCCUCCAUUUUGUAUGUGUGUCACCACCACAGCAUGGCUUGAUGAGUGAUGUAGGUCCAUGCCCGGGAUCCAAAGCCCCAGCUACCAAAGUGGAACACGUGGAAAUUAACUACUAUGCUACCGGGCCAGCCCUGUUUCCUCAUUUUAUACAUGAGGAAAAUAAGGCUCAGAGAGUUAAAACCUGGUCAAAGGCAGCACAUCUCAUAAGAAUUAUCAAUGAAGUGCUUGUUAAAAUAGAUUGAGCCCCACCCAAACCUCCUGAGUCGGGCUCUCGAGAGGAAAGUCCUGGGAAACAAACAGCCCAGGUGAUUCCUAGGCUCUGGCCAGCUUGGCGAGACUGCACUGUACCCUCCUACCUCUCUCAGGGGCUGGUGCUCAGGGCAGUUUCCCUGCUGGAUAGAGGGGAAUAACCAAGGGAUCAAAGGGAGGCCAAGGAGUUGACUUCGAGCAAGAAAAGGGACGGCCUGCUCGGGAAGUACAGCUGUAGAUGAAUGUGUAGGGGAUGUGUGUGGCCUUGGAUUAGCCCACCAUUCUCUGCGUAUGAGUCGGAGGUAAGCUCCGAGAUAAAGGGGUCUGGCAGCAUGGUAGAUGGCUUGAGGCCAGGGUAAGGGCUUCUGUGCUGGUGCAUGGAGCGGAAGAGGGGAAUGAGUCUUCCCUUGAGUGUGGACAUUCUCAGGAAGACACUGGGCCGUGGAGGAGCGGCAGGAGGAUGGAGAAGCUCAAACAUUCCUGGUCCAAGAGGGUCGAGUGAAGGCAGGGAGUGGUGGGAGAUGAAGGUCGAGAAGUCAGCCUUUGAGGGGCCUGCUAAGAAGCUUGGAAGUCAUCCUGAGGACAAAAGGAAUCCUUGAAGGAGCAGCAGAGUGGUACGUAGUGAGAUAUGUGUUUCCAGAUAGGUCACUCUGAUUAUAUCAGGAAGGACAGAUUCUAAAUGGUGAAGACCGGAGGAGGGAGACCAGUUGGAAAGACUCCAGCUGUAAUCCGAGAGAGCCAUGCUUUGGAUUGGUUUGGUGAGGAUAGAAAGGAAUGUCGAGAUCAAGAAAUAGGAAGUAACAACUGGGCAGGUUUGGUAAUUGUUUGAAACUAGGAGGUGUUGAGGGAGGCAGCAAUUUAGGAUAAGCAGCCAUGGAAAGCACAGUUGCUCAUUGUUUGGGAAUAGCCGGUUGUGCUAUAGAAAACAAGAAAUCAAAUGAGAUGGAUGGAACUCAUAAGAAGUGUUACUCAUAGAUAAGUAAAUUAGUAAUCUGUGAGCCAUGUUAGACGUUGAUAAGUAAGUAGAACUUAUUUGUGCGAACUGAGAUAGGGGAAGAAGGACCAAGUAGGCACUAAAUACUCAUGAUACCCUAAAUCUAUGGGACAUCUCAGGUACCUACUGUUCAGGAAGCCUCAAUUUGAUGGGACAGGUGCACAUUGGGUAACCCAGAAUUCGGGCUGUGUGAUCCUUCCACCCAACUUGCACCUGAUCCUGUGCUACCCCAUCACUUUCCCCUUGUUUCUCACUGUGUUUUACAUUUAUUUAGUAAGCCAUAUGAUUCGAGCAUCUUUACUUGUUCUGUGAGCCUUUUGGUUCCGUGACCUCUGAAACACCUUCGUGGUACUGUACCAGGAGGCUACCGGGGCAUCGAGGUGGUUUCCCACACCACAACCCCGUUCUGACUUGAGUAAGCAGGUGGAUUAGAUAGUGAUGCUACCACCAGGAGGGUAAGAUGAGGGCCAGGUUGUUCCCUGGUGGUACUAAGGGGAUAUGCUCAGUUUGGGUGUGUUGAGUUUGAGGCGAUGUAGGACGUUCGGGCAAGAUGGCCAACAGGUGGUUGGAUGUACUGAUGUGAAGGGCAGGGAUUUAGAUAUUGGGAGUCAUUACUAUUUAAAACAAUGAGCCUGGAUGAGAUCCUGCAGGGAAACAAGAGUUUCCGUUCCCACUGUUCACUCCCCAUUCUCCUUACCCAUUCUUUUGAUGCCCUAAAAAUAGUCAUACAGCCUCACCUCAUGGGAACCUGGUGAGACCAUGUCCCCGUGACGACGCCUCCUUUCCCACCAUAUCUUUUUCCCUCAGCAACCCAUUCUCUGCGCUGUGACUUCAUUGCUCUUUCCCAGUCCAGCCCUAGGCAAGCCCCUUAGGAAUUCUCAGGCUACUUGGAUGAUCAGCCUUUCUUAUGGUGCUGCAGGGAGGGCAGGUGGGCAGAGCCCCGGGCACCCUGGUCCCAGGCUAGGGAUCCAGGGGCUUGGGAGAAUCUGAUUCUCAGACUGAAGGCCAGAGCCCAGCACCUUGUUGUCAACCUAAGGAGCAUCAUGGAGCAAGAACCACCAGAGCCCAGGUGAUUGUGUGUAUGUGUAGCAGGGAGAAGGUGAUCAGUACAGUCCUAAAGCUAUGGAGCUGUGCGCUCAUUGUUGUUCAACUAAUAUGUAUUAAGCUCGGUGCAGGGCACUAUGCUGGGCACUCUAGAUACGGCAACCUUCACCGAGAUUCUGAUAUCUCCUUCUUCUUUCUGGGGGAUUUCAUCCCUGACAUCAAAUCAUAUUGUGUACCCAGAGGUGCCAAAAAGUCUAGAUAUUGGGUAUUGGAAAGCGUAGGACAUAAGUAUAAGACUGCCACCCUUCCACCAGUCAGGGAGUAGGACUAGAGAAAUCCCCGUUGUCUCUAGGCUCCCAAGCCUUCUCUUCAGGUGAAAAAAAUCAUAUCCAACUUUUCAAAUCCAGGGUCUAGGAAAUCAUCAGCCUUUUUCUGACCUAGCCACCUCCCCACCCUGACCAGUAAUUAUAGGAACCCUAGAGACCUGGUCAGUGUCCCAAGGGAAAUCUGUUUCUAACCUACAUCAUUUUUUUUUCAUCUAGCAAACAUCUGAGGGUCUAGUGAGUGCUGUUCAUUGUGCUGUUACCAACAGUGAACAUUACAAUAGCAGCUACCAUUUCUUGAAUUCUUAUUGGCAGGUUUUACAUUAGCACCAGCGUGCAUUAUCUCAUUUGAUCUUCACUUGUGAGGCAAGGACUAUUAUUAUCUCCAAUUCCCAGAUGAGGAAAGUGAGGCUUAGAGAGGUUCAGUUACAUUUGCCCUGGGCAUUAUAGCCAGCAGUGGCAUUUAGAUGUAGCAUUUAAACAUGAUGCUGUGCUGGGCCCAGGGCAUGGGUCCCUGCCUUCAGGGUGUAUAGCAACGAGGACCCAGUGUGGUCAGUACCAUAACUGUGGCAUGAGCAAUGCAUGCUGGGAACGCAGGAGGGAGCCACUUGCUGCAGGGGGUUGAGGGUGGGGUGCAGCGUGACUUCGCUGGGCCCCUACAUGACAGAGAAGGUAUGUCUUAGAGCAUGAGUGAGGGUUUUUAUCAGUUGGAGAAGGGAAUUCCAGGCAUUUUGGGAAGUGGUGGGAGUGGAGGUGGAGAAUGCCACUGUUUUGUUCUCCUGUAACUUUGGAGCUCUGGGGCUUUGGCAUUUCAGAAUCACACACCCUCCAGACCGUAGUGGUCUGUAAGUUGCGGGGGAAACAAAACAGCCGGGGAUACUGGCGGUAAAACUAUGAUGGCCAGGACUUCCUUCUCAGCACACUUGAGUUUUCCAACUCCAGCCAAAGCAAUCCAGAAAAAAAGCAGAACUGCAGAUGGGGAGAAGGGAAAGGAGCAAUCCUUCCUGACCCAGAGCUGCAUCUACCCUCUCCAGAAAUACCUGGAAGCUGGGGUGGGGCCCCAGCCUACCAUAGGAGUGAUAGGUGCGGACUGAUCAGUGUAGGAAGGUGGAGGGGCUGAGGGCACUGCGUGGAGGGUUGGGAGAGCAAGCCUCUGAGCCAGCCUCACGCAUUCCACAUUACCUGGGUCCUUUGUGAGCACAGUUCCGUCACUGACCAGCCUAGCCAUUCUGCUUGUCUUCUCUCACACAUAUUUGGCCAGCCCUUUCUCCACUUAGUGUUCAAAUUCUGACCCAGGGCUUAGCACCCAAGGACACUCAGGGUGGGGCGUGACCAAGAGUCACCCUGGAAUGCAGCGCCAGUAGUGCCUGGGUGGUGGCCCUGGCCCUGGAGUGGAGGAUGAUGCACGGCAGUUUGGCAAGACCAGAGGCCAGAGGCAGCAAGUCUUCCCUGGUCCGGGAGGUCUUUAGGUCUCCUUUGCCAUCACACUUAUGUCCUCUCAGUGUGUGUGACCCUACGAAGCCCCUAGAAGGCCCUUGGCUUCUGUCUUCCAUUAGUCCAGCUAACCUAGCUGAGGGAUGGGCUGCCCCUAGACCCUGAGUCCCGGGGACUUCAAACCACAUGAUCCCAGGGGGAUAGGACUGCUGAGAGCCAGCAGUCCACUGAGAUGCCCUUUGACAUGAGCGGAGGCUGUCCUGCCUGGUGGAGCACCAGGCCGAUGCUGGGUCUCUGCAGGACCUCAGAGACCCCUGUCUAACCACCCCCACCCCCUUGUCUGGAUCUUCUGUGGGCUUCUGGCUUCUGCUGUGGUCAUUGUGGGAGCUGCAGGCACCUUCCUCCGGAAGCAGUGGAAGAAGGGCAGGACAGCAGGUAUGCUCAGAAUUUUAGAGCUGGAAGUGACCUUGAGGAUCAUCGGCAAUCCCUCUCUCUGGGAGGCUGAGGCCCGAGAGCGGCGAUUUAAAGAGCAACUGAGGGAAUAUGAUGAGAGGAGGGAGUAGAUUAGGAUUUCCGUUUCCUCCCUAGCCUUUGGCCUGGAUUGUCUCCUUCCCAACUCACACACACGCGUACAUGCACAUGUAUGUGUGCACACACACGUCUCUGUCGCUGUCUUCCAUGAGAAGUUUUACCUCUUGAAGUGUGUUUCUCAUAAGCUCCCAAGCGCUGAAAACCAAAUCAAAAUUGGCCUCCCAAACUCCUCACACAUAACUUGAUCAAACUUGGUGGGGAAACCUGCCAGAUUCUCAGGAAGGCUGCUUAGAGGUGGGAGGUGGGGUGCAGGAAGGCCCCUGCCAGCGUCUCACUGAGUCCCUCCCCUCCCACCUCCUCAACCCCAAUUUCUCUUCACAGGUGUGCAGAGAGAAAUGUAUAUUCCCACGUCCAGUAAGUGGCGAGGGUAGACAGGAGGGUGUAUGGGGCAGCAAUUUUAUGUUGGGGCUGGAAGGAAAUUUAGAGUUCCAUUAGACCUGUUCUUCUUUAUUAGGUGAGGAAACUGAGGCACAGAAGGGGGAGUUGCAACCUCAUGCUCCCUCAGCCAGGAAGUCAGAGUCAGGGCCUGGAACCCUGGUCUACAGCCCCUUGGUUUAUUCCUGACUACUUCUCCUGGCUCCCCACCCUCACUAUCUCCACUGCAGACUACAAUCAGAGAGCUGUCUCCUCAAUUUGAGAGUGACAGAACCCAGAGGUCAAAGAAGUGAGUUGCUACCCUGGUCUAGAGCAAGUCUCCGUUAGUUCCCAUCUGAGCCCUUUCAGCUGGUUUUUCCAGCCAACCAGCACCCCAUGCUGGAACGAGGGGAUGGCUGGGCUGACAGCAGCGAGGCCACCAUCACACCUCUUUGCAGCCAUACUUGUCAGCCACAUCUGGGGACAGGUGGACCUCACCUGCCCUCCCUUGGUCUCCUAGCAUGCUCUGCAACCAGAUACUUGCGUUUGUCUCUGUGAAGGACCUUGACAUUGCACUACAAUAAAAGUGUAUGAGGAGAGUU